rnacentral:rRNA from 1 species
UACGUAGGGGGCAAGCGUUGUCCGGAAUCAUUGGGCGUAAAGAGCGUGUAGGCGGCUUGGCAAGUCUGGUGUGAAAUCUUGCGGCUCAACCGCAAGCGGUCACUGGAAACUGCCUCGCUAGAGUCCGGAAGAGGAGAGCGGAAUUCCUGGUGUAGCGGUGGAAUGCGCAGAUAUCAGGAGGAACACCGGUGGCGAAGGCGGGUCUCUGGGCCGAUACUGACACUGAGAAGCGAAAGCGUGGGGAGCGAACAGG